CACUGCUGAUGAGUCCCAUAAGAAGACGAAACGGCCGUCCAGGGC
rnacentral:hammerhead_ribozyme from 1 species